AUUGAACGCUGGCGGCAUGCCUUACACAUGCAAGUCGAACGGCAUCGCGGGAAAGCUUGCUUUCCUGGCGGCGAGUGGCGAACGGGUGAGUAACACAUCGGAACGUACCGUCUAGUGGGGGAUAACCCGUCGAAAGACGGGCUAAUACCGCAUACGCUCUUCGGAGGAAAGCAGGGGACCUUUGGGCCUUGCGCUAGCCGAGCGGCCGAUGUCCGAUUAUCUAGUUGGUGGGGUAAAGGCCUACCAAGGCGACGAUCGGUAGCGGGUCUGAGAGGACGAUCCGCCACACUGGGACUGAGACACGGCCCAGACUCCUACGGGAGGCAGCAGUGGGGAAUCUUGGACAAUGGGGGCAACCCUGAUCCAGCAAUGCCGCGUGGGUGAAGAAGGCCUUCGGGUUGUAAAGCCCUUUCGGCAGGGAAGAAAUCGGCGGGGCGAAUAACCCUGCUGGAUGACGGUACCUGCAGAAGAAGCACCGGCUAACUACGUG
rnacentral:rRNA from 1 species